rnacentral:sRNA from 2 species
GCUGCGGCACAUUCCGCAGCCGGGUUUAGCAGCCCGUAAUCACAAGGCGCACCAGCGCCCAUUGCACGAUGUCGGCGCUUUUCUU